rnacentral:rRNA from 1 species
GAUGAACGCUGGCGGCGUGCUUAACACAUGCAAGUCGAACGGAAAGGCCAGUGCUUGCACUGGUACUCGAGUGGCGAACGGGUGAGUAACACGUGGGUGAUCUGCCCUGCACUUCGGGAUAAGCCUGGGAAACUGGGUCUAAUACCGGAUAGGACAAUGGUUUGGAUGCCGUUGUGGAAAGUUUUUUCGGUGUGGGAUGAGCUCGCGGCCUAUCAGCUUGUUGGUGGGGUAAUGGCCUACCAAGGCGUCGACGGGUAGGCGGCCUGAGAGGGGGUAAGGCGACAAUGGGACUGAGAUACGGCCCAGACUCCUACCGGAGGCAGCAGUGGGGAAUAGUGAACAAUGGGCGCAAGCCUGAUGCAGCGACGCCGAGUGGGGGAUGACGGCCUUAGGGUUGUAAACUCCUUUCGCUAGGGACGAAGCGUAUUUGUGACGGUACCUGGAGAAGAAGCACCGGCUAACUACGUG